UACAGAGGGGGCAAGCGUUGUUCGGAAUUACUGGGCGUAAAGGGCGCGUAGGCGGCCCGCUAAGUCGAACGUGAAAUCCCUAGGCUCAACCUAGGAACUGCGUCCGAUACUGGUGGGCUUGAAUCCGGGAGAGGGAUGUGGAAUUCCAGGUGUAGCGGUGAAAUGCGUAGAUAUCUGGAGGAACACCGGUGGCGAAGGCGACAUCCUGGACCGGUAUUGACGCUGAGGCGCGAAAGCCAGGGGAGCAAACGGG
rnacentral:rRNA from 1 species